rnacentral:lncRNA from 1 species
AAAUUUUGAUAUAUAUGUUCAUAUUUUCACUAUUUUAUCUUGAGCUUUGUUGUUUAUAAAAAAAUUUAUUUAAUUCAUUUCAUAUUAAAAAAAAAUAAAAGUCUUGAAAAUGAUUUUUUUAAUAAUAUUUUAAGUAUAAUUGUAAAUAAAUUAUUCAAAAAUAUAUGUUGAUCAAAUACUAGAGAUUAAAACAGUUUGUAGAAUAAUUUUAUGAGAACUAAAAAAUAUGAUAU